rnacentral:rRNA from 1 species
AUGGCACAUGUUGUCUUUGCCUGCCAGGGUGUUGGCGCUGCUACUUGGCCGGUUACAACGAGUAGGACGCUGUUAGGGUGGUAUUUCUCCCUGUGUGUAGGCACUUUCUCGAUUGCUCAGCAGGCGAUCAACGCGGCACAUGUGGAGGCUGUGAGAGCUGCGAAUGGCACUGGGAAGGGAGACCUAUUUGAGUUCCUGUAUGAAAGGGUAAAGAAGAAGGUGCAUGCUGUCGUGGUUGUUGCUGAAGGCGUUGGUCAGGAGUUGAUUACCCAGACUGAUGACCAGAACCGAGAGCGGGAUGAGUAUUUCAACAUGUUGUUCCUUGACAUUGGCCUUCUUCUAUAA